rnacentral:lncRNA from 1 species
CCAUCCUCAUCCUGCUCCAUCCUUAUCCUGCCCCACCUUCAUCCUGCUCCAUCUUCAUCCCUCCCCUCUUUGCCACAAAAAUCCUCAUUCCCACCUCCUUGUCUCCCUGAGUGCUGCUCAGACAACCCCACAGGGAAAGCUGUUUACCCAGAUAACCACCAUCCCUCUCCCUGCUGAAGCAGCAGCUGUUGUGGGAGACAGCUGAAAUGCAAACAGGCUCCUGCUCCAUCCAUCACCCAGGCACGGGCCAGGCACAGCUACUUCACUUUAAAGGACAACGUUUGCAUCAAGAGGAGCUGGGCCACAAAUCAAAUCCCACUGGAAGGCAGGAGAAGGUUUGAACUGGAGCAGAGGUUUCCUGGGAUGAUCUUCUUGUGGGAUGAGGGGACAGGAGCUGACACAGAGGUCUCUGAGCAGCCAGAGCUCUUCCUAACGAUCUGUGCUGGAUGGAAAACACCCCAAAGAGCUU